rnacentral:misc_RNA from 1 species
GUGUAAAACUUGACAGCAAAACCACGAGGAUCCCUCAGAGUUUCAGGACUACCCCUUUCAUGAAUAACAGUAGAGAAUCUCACAAUGACUGGAGUCUGUACACCAGGAGCUCGAAGGAAAUCAGCACAGGUAAGGUGAGCAAUGUCAUGAGUAACUUCAAAAAACCCUUUGGCACUAGCACCUCGGGCAUGAACAACACGUUCUGCAAUACGUUCCCUGUCAAAGUUGGCAAGUUUCUCCACCAAAUGGUAAUCCUCAAGCAACACAGGACCUCUUGCACCAACCGUAAGAGAUGAAUUGUUAUUAAAAACAGGAGCACCAGAAUUAGUGGUACAGAAAGGUGAAUUGAAAGCACUUGACGGACGGUACUUGUAAGGAUCCAUUAGAGAGCUAAAGAGAGAGAGAGGUGUAGAGUAUUAACUAAAGCAAAAAGAGGGAGAAGAGAAGGGGACUUGUGGUCUU